rfam:Trichobilharzia regenti genome assembly, scaffold: TRE_scaffold0018925
GUACUGCUGAAGAGUCCCGAACUAGGACGAAACAAGUGUCCAGUAC